rnacentral:rRNA from 1 species
GUGACCCCAGGAUGGGCGAGGCCACCCGCCGAGUUUAAGCAUAUCUAUAAGC